UCUUUGCUCUUCGUCUCUUUCCUUUUCUGGUUGAUUUUGGGAGAUGAAGUAUUAUUCUGAGAUCGAGAUAACAAGAGUCUGAUCAUGAAUCAAGAGAUGGUGGAGGUGUCGUUGCUGUUUGAGUUAGGAGGAAGAAGAAUAGAGAAGCCAGUGAGUUAAGGUUUUCUGAAGCUGGGUUGUUUUUUGAGUUUGUGUAGAACGAGGAUGAUAUCGAGUUGUAACCACUGAAGAUUAAGAGGGUUGUUGGUGAAUUGAUGAGAUGAAGCAGUUUUGGUGAAGAAUCACAAAUCAGUUAGUCUUUAUUAAUAACGACUGAUUCAAAGGAUGAACUAGCGGAUUGACGAUUUCGAGGUGGGCGUGGCUUGUGAUCAAACCAGGCACCCUUUGGGACGAUGUGCUCACUUGUUCCCACUUCAGUUUCAGUAAUCAGAAGGAGUGAAGCGUGCGAAGAUAUCCGUUUUCGUAACUUAGUGCUCUACCGAAUAUAGUGUUGUCGUGUAUCUGUAUUAUAUGUAUUCUUUCUUUAUAUUGUAAAAUAAUACAUUUAUAUAUUUAUAUAACAUGAGAGACUUUCAACCAUACUGUAUUAGAGAGUUUGGGUUUGUUUGUUAGCA